UACGGGGGGUGCAAGCGUUGUUCGGAAUUAUUGGGCGUAAAGAGCGUGUAGGCGGCUUGAUAAGUCAGAUGUGAAGGCCCUGGGCUUAACCCAGGAAGUGCAUUUGAAACUGUCUCGCUAGAAUAAGGGAGGGGGAAGUGGAAUUCCUGGUGUAGAGGUGGAAUUCGUAGAUAUCAGGAGGAACACCGGUGGCGAAGGCGACUUCCUGGCCCUAUAUUGACGCUGAGACGCGAGAGCGUGGGUAGCAAACAGG
rnacentral:rRNA from 1 species